rnacentral:misc_RNA from 1 species
GUCGAGAGAUUGAACAGCGCCGCUUCGCGCACUUCCGCCGGCAGGUCGCUUUCCGUCACCCCGCGCACGAACGCCACCGUGUCGCGCUCCAGCGUUUUCCAGUUUUUCGCCGCGUGCUCCGCCGCGGCCCACGCGUCAGCGAAUUGCGUCGUGUAAUAAUUUCCUACCAGCGUCGGCGGAUCCGUCGCCGGCCGGGUCCAGGUCUCGCGGUUCGGAAAAUGCCACGCCACGACAAACUCCACCGUCCCCUCGCUCAUUGGCG